UACGGAGGGGGGCUAGCGUUGCUCGGAAUCACUGGGCGUAAAGGGUGCGUAGGCGGGUUUUUAAGUCAGAGGUGAAAUCCUGGAGCUCAACUCCAGAACUGCCUCUGAUACUGGGGAUCUUGAGUCCGGAAGAGGUAAGUGGAACUGCGAGUGUAGAGGUGAAAUUCGUAGAUAUUCGCAAGAACACCAGUGGCGAAGGCGGCUUACUGGUCCGGUACUGACGCUGAGGUGCGAAAGCGUGGGGAGCAAACAGG
rnacentral:rRNA from 1 species